rnacentral:lncRNA from 1 species
GGGUUUGGUAAAUGCGUGGCUGCAAGCACAUUACACACUUGUACCAUUAAUAAAUUAUUAUUAUCAUCAUUUUACAAAUAACUUGUAAGUUUGAAACUUUGAGAGAUGUCUUCUUUCUGCCAAAUAAUAAUGUUUGCUGAGAAAUAAAUGCUGCACACAAUAAUGGUAGAACUUCAUGGCUGCAGAAUAGAGGGACCAGGAUGGAUGAUGUUUCAUUUUUAAAAGAAAAAUGUUUUGUGUACACUCGAAAUGAAUUUAUAUACACUGUCCUCGUAAGCAUAGUUCAAUUGAUAAGAACAAUGCAUAAAAUAUGCAAGGGCUACUACCAAAAAAUAAUAUACGUUAAAACAAUGAGUAAAAAAGAGAAGGGUAGAGAGAAAAUUAAGGGUUAAAUAUGUGUAUUAAAUUUAGAGGUUCCUAUUUAUCAUUGUUGUUUUUAAAAUUCAAUUUAGGUGGCUAGUUGUUAUUGCUUGG